rnacentral:rRNA from 1 species
AAACUCAAAGGAAUUGACGGGGGCCCGCACAAGCGGCGGAGCAUGUUGCUUAAUUCGACGCAACGCGAAGAACCUUACCAAGGCUUGACAUCACCCGAAAACCUGCAGAGAUGUGGGGUCCUUUUUGGGCGGGUGACAGGUGGUGCAUGGCUGUCGUCAGCUCGUGUCGUGAGAUGUUGGGUUAAGUCCCGCAACGAGCGCAACCCUCGUUCCAUGUUGCCAGCGGGUUAUGCCGGGGACUCAUGGGAGACCGCCGGGGUCAACUCGGAGGAAGA